UAAUUUAAGGUCUAGCCUGCCCCCUGAGUUUUUAAAUGGCCGUGGUAUUUUGACCGUGCUAAGGUAGCAUAAUCAUUAGUUCUUUAAUUAAGAACUGGAAUGAAGGGUUGGAUAAAAAAAUAACUGUCUCUGUUAAAUUUUAUUAGAAUUUUAUUUUUAAGUUAAAAAGCUUAAUUAUCAUUAAAAGACGAGAAGACCCUAUAGAGUUUAAUUUUUAAAUAAAAAAAUUUUUUUAGCAUUAAUAUAUUUAGUUUAUUUAAUAAUUUAAUUGGGGUGAUUGAAAAAUUUAUUAAACUUUUUUUAUUUUUAUACAUUAAUUUAUGAAUAAAUGAUCCAAUAAUUUUGAUUAUAAGAUAAAAUUACCUUAGGGAUAACAGCGUAAUUUUUUUAGAAAGUUCAUAUUAAAAAAAGAGAUUGCGACCUCGAUGUUGGAUUAAAAUUAAUUUUUGGUGUAGAAGCUAAAAUAUUAGGUCUGUUCGACCUUUAAAAUUUUA
rnacentral:rRNA from 1 species